rnacentral:snoRNA from 1 species
UUUCCCAUUUGACUACUGCUUCAGAUCUUACUAAUAGAUUGAAGUGGUUAUGCUUGUGGGAUAGAUUAACAUUGCCAUGAUCUGAAGAGGGAGGAUUAUUUUUUAAUGUCCUCCCCCUAUAUGAAAUGGCUGUACAUUUAUAU